rnacentral:rRNA from 1 species
UACUCGAGUGGCGAACGGGUGAGUAACACGUGGGUGAUCUGCCCUGCACUUCGGGAUAAGCCUGGGAAACUGGGUCUAAUACCGGAUAGGACGAUGGUUUGGAUGCCAUUGUGGAAAGUUUUUCGGUGUGGGAUGAGCUCGCGGCCUAUCAGCUUGUUGGUGGGGUAAUGGCCUACCAAGGCGUCGACGGGUAGCCGGCCUGAGAGGGUGUACGGCCACAUUGGGACUGAGAUACGGCCCAG